rnacentral:rRNA from 1 species
GGGUUGUGAGGUUAAGCGACUAAGCGUACACGGUGGAUGCCCUGGCAGUCAGAGGCGAUGAAGGACGUGCUAAUCUGCGAUAAGCGUCGGUGAGGUGAUAUGAACCGUUAUAACCGGCGAUUUC